rnacentral:rRNA from 1 species
AGCGAACGCUGGCGGCAGGCCUAACACAUGCAAGUCGAACGGACCCUUCGGGGUUAGUGGCGGACGGGUGAGUAACACGUGGGAACGUGCCCUUUGGUUCGGAACAACUCAGGGAAACUUGAGCUAAUACCGGAUGUGCCCUUCGGGGGAAAGAUUUAUCGCCAUUGGAGCGGCCCGCGUCUGAUUAGCUAGUUGGUGAGGUAAAGGCUCAUCAAGGCGACGAUCAGUAGCUGGUCUGAGAGGAUGAUCAGCCACACUGGGACUGAGACACGGACCAGACUCCUACGGGAGGCAGCAGUGGGGAAUCUUGCGCAAUGGGCGAAAGCCUGACGCAGCCAUGCCGCGUGAAUGAUGAAGGUCUUAGGAUUGUAAAAUUCUUUCACCGGGGACGAUAAUGACGGUACCCGGAGAAGAAGCUCCGGCUAACUUCGUGCCAGCAGCCGCGGUAAUAC